rnacentral:rRNA from 1 species
GGAAAGUAAAAGUCGUAACAAGGUCUCCGUUGGUGAACCAGCGGAGGGAUCAUUA